GUGGUGUAACAGUACAACAUAAGAACAAACUAUAAAAUCAGUUGAAAAGGCUUAACUCAUCAUUUCGAUACAAAUAGAAAUACAUAUUACAAAAACAAAGUCAACAUAGUCUAAUUGGUACUUCAACUACUUGUACAUCCCAAUAACAAAAGAUACUAUAUAAAGUACACCUGACGUGUUAAGGUGGUAAACUCAUGAAGAGCAUGUCAUCAUGUAACAUUGUAGAUUUUCCUUUAAUUUUUUUCUGUACUUGGCUUUUCUUCUCUUUUUUUUUAAUAUGUACAUAGCCCUUCCCCCUUUUAUUAUUAAACACUAUUUGUUUGUUAAAUGUAUCAAAAAUCAUAAUUAUAUUGAAAAGUUUGUCUCUAUUACUUAAUUGAUCUCCUUGUUUUGAUUUAGAACGCUUUCUUUAGCCAUAUAUGUUUAUCAAACCAAUAUUUCUCAUUGCACAUGUAGAGGUUAAUAUUGAGAACGGAUGUCAGCAUUGUCACGUGAUCAAUGGAUUAAUUUAGGUCAGGUAAGAACACAGGUUGUUGGCUACUUAUCAACAUUUUAUUGACUUAUUUACAUAGUCAAAGUGUUUAACAGAUUAUCGAUUACAAUCAAUAUUAUCUUAUGUUAGUAAAUGGCGGGUAGUUUGAUUUGAAAGCGAGUACAAAGUAGAGAAACUGACCAAAAAUGUAUGGUUGACCUCACCUUGGUCUUUGUUGAUUUUCACAC
rnacentral:lncRNA from 1 species